UAUCAUCAUCCCGGCUGAAG
rnacentral:misc_RNA from 1 species